rnacentral:rRNA from 1 species
GAUGAACGCUGGCGGCGUGCCUAAUACAUGCAAGUCGAGCGAACGGACGAGAAGCUUGCUUCUCUGAUGUUAGCGGCGGACGGGUGAGUAACACGUGGAUAACCUACCUAUAAGACUGGGAUAACUUCGGGAAACCGGAGCUAAUACCGGAUAAUAUUUUGAACCGCAUGGUUCAAAAGUGAAAGACGGUCUUGCUGUCACUUAUAGAUGGAUCCGCGCUGCAUUAGCUAGUUGGUAAGGUAACGGCUUACCAAGGCAACGAUGCAUAGCCGACCUGAGAGGGUGAUCGGCCACACUGGAACUGAGACACGGUCCAGACUCCUACGGGAGGCAGCAGUAGGGAAUCUUCCGCAAUGGGCGAAAGCCUGACGGAGCAACGCCGCGUGAGUGAUGAAGGUCUUCGGAUCGUAAAACUCUGUUAUUAGGGAAGAACAUAUGUGUAAGUAACUGUGCACAUCUUGACGGUACCUAAUCAGAAAGCCACGGCUAACUACGUGCCAGCAGCCGCGGUAAUACGUAGGUGGCAAGCGUUAUCCGGAAUUAUUGGGCGUAAAGCGCGCGUAGGCGGUUUUUUAAGUCUGAUGUGAAAGCCCACGGCUCAACCGUGGAGGGUCAUUGGAAACUGGAAAACUUGAGUGCAGAAGAGGAAAGUGGAAUUCCAUGUGUAGCGGUGAAAUGCGCAGAGAUAUGGAGGAACACCAGUGGCGAAGGCGACUUUCUGGUCUGUAACUGACGCUGAUGUGCGAAAGCGUGGGGAUCAAACAGGAUUAGAUACCCUGGUAGUCCACGCCGUAAACGAUGAGUGCUAAGUGUUAGGGGGUUUCCGCCCCUUAGUGCUGCAGCUAACGCAUUAAGCACUCCGCCUGGGGAGUACGACCGCAAGGUUGAAACUCAAAGGAAUUGACGGGGACCCGCACAAGCGGCGGAGCAUGUGGUUUAAUUCGAAGCAACGCGAAGAACCUUACCAAAUCUUGACAUCCUUUGACAACUCUAGAGAUAGAGCCUUCCCCUUCGGGGGACAAAGUGACAGGUGGUGCAUGGUUGUCGUCAGCUCGUGUCGUGAGAUGUUGGGUUAAGUCCCGCAACGAGCGCAACCCUUAAGCUUAGUUGCCAUCAUUAAGUUGGGCACUCUAAGUUGACUGCCGGUGACAAACCGGAGGAAGGUGGGGAUGGCGUCAAGUCAUCAUGCCCCUUAUGAUUUGGGCUACACACGUGCUACAAUGGACAAUACAAAGGGCAGCGAAACCGCGAGGUCAAGCAAAUCCCAUAAAGUUGUUCUCAGUUCGGAUUGUAGUCUGCAACUCGACUACAUGAAGCUGGAAUCGCUAGUAAUCGUAGAUCAGCAUGCUACGGUGAAUACGUUCCCGGGUCU